rnacentral:rRNA from 1 species
UACGUAGGGUGCAAGCGUUGUCCGGAAUUAUUGGGCGUAAAGAGCUCGUAGGCGGUUUGUCGCGUCUGCUGUGAAAACCCGAGGCUCAACCUCGGGCCUGCAGUGGGUACGGGCAGACUAGAGUGCGGUAGGGGAGAUUGGAAUUCCUGGUGUAGCGGUGGAAUGCGUAGAUAUAGGAAGGAACACCAGUGGCGAAGGCGACACUCUGGCUUGACACUGGCGCUGAGGUACGAAAGCGUGGGGAGCAAACAGG